rnacentral:rRNA from 1 species
UACGUAGGUGGCAAGCGAUACUCGGAAUCACUAGGCGUAAAGCGCAGGUAGGCGGUUUGGUAAGUCUUUUGUGAAAGCCCCCGGCUCAACUGGGGAGGGUCACUCGAUACUGAUCGACUCGAAGGCAGAAGAGGGAAGCGGAAUUCCCGGUGUAGUGGUGAAAUGCGUAGAUAUCGGGAGGAACACCAGUGGCGAAGGCGGCUUUCUGGUCUGCUCUUGACGCUGAGGCGCGAAAGCUAGGGUAGCAAACGGG